rnacentral:rRNA from 1 species
AUGAUACCAAUAAUUCGGCGGGAUCUCGCAAGGAGCCGCGUCGGGAACAAUGAAUGCCCUGAUUUGGAACUGCCGGGGGCGGGGAACCGUCGGACAGUUCGUAAGGUGUUGGCCCUCGCUAAAACCAACAUCCCCAAGCUUGUCUUUCUGUGUGAAACUAGGCAAGCUAGUAUGAAGAUGGAGAAGUUAAGAUGGAGAUUUGGGCUGAAGGGUUUCUAUGGAGUGUGUAGUUCAGGACCGAGUGGUGGUAUUGCACUUUACUGGGAUGAAGCUUUGUUGGUCACUGUUCUGGAUGCAUGUCAAAGAUAUAUUGAUGUUAUGGUGGAGGACAAAAGUUCUGAUAAGAGGUGGUGUAUGACUUUUGUGUAUGGCGAACCAAGGGUGGAGAAUAGGCAAAUUAUGUGGGAUCAUCUGACACGCUUGAGAGGGGUCUCGCAGGAACCGUGGCUUGUGUGUGGUGAUUUCAACGAAGCCUUGUGGCAACAUGAGCAUAUGUCCAGAACGUUGCGAUCUGAAUCUCGAAUGGCUGCAUUUCGAGACUGCUUAAUGUUGUGUGAAUUGGAAGACCUGGGUUUCUCGGGAGUUCCUUUCACAUACGACAAUGCCAGUAUGGAAAUAAUAAUGUUCGGGUCCGGUUAG